GAUCAUUCACAAGCGGUUCAUCGCUCGUUCUCCCAUGCAUCCAUUCCAUUGCCCACACUGCUUAUUCAUCUCUCGGACGUAUGCCCGUAUACACGGGUUGCCGUCCGUCGUCAAGUCGCCGGCCGCUCGUCGUUGCCGUCCGUCAUCAAGUCGCCAGCCGCUCGUCAUCCACUGCCUCGCUUGCUUCCGGCCGCUCAACAUACACGCCAUCGUACGCGUCUUUGUUGUGUUGCCGUAGCCAAAGCACCAGUGUGUCUUCAGGGCUGUUGCUGCACUUCGAUCGGCUAAUCCUACCGUCAAGGUGAGAAACAAGGCAAACUGAACUCCUUCCCCUACCACUCCGUAAGUGAGAGAGAGAAAAGGUUUGAAGAUGGAAAUAUAAUUCUUUGUUUCCUCUAUGAUUGGCUGCAUUGACAUAAUCAUGGAGUCUUUCUCAUAAUUCUCAAUUUGGUCGUAUUGACACAAACUAAGAAAUUUCCCUCCAUAUUUGCUAUAUGAUUUCUUACUUCUUGGUUGAUCAAAUUGAUACAAUCAUGGAGUCAUAUUUUUUUAAUAAUUCUUAGUUUGGUUAUAUUGACACAAACUAAGAAAUUAUAUCAUCAUAUUUGCUGCAUAAUUUCUUACUUCUUGGUUGAUCACGUUGAAACUAUCAUGGAGUUAUCUUUCAAUGAUUCUUAGUUUGGUUAUACUGACAUAAACUAGAGAAUCAUUUAUCCCAAAUUGCUACAUGUUUCCUUAUAUUCGUACAUGCCAAGUUGCUUCCUUAUCAUCAUGGAAAUUUGGUCCUUGGUUUGGUUACAUUGACACAAACCAAGUGGCAUUAAAACAUAUGUAUGGUUCAAAAAUUUGGCAUUUUGUUUGUUCAUGAUGACAUGCGUAAAUCUCCUGAAAUCAUAUAUAAUUAAAUUUUGGCGCUUGGUUUGGUCACAUUGACAUGAACAAGGUUGUCUUAAAACUGGCAUCUUAAUAAAUUUUUGGCUCUUGGUUUGUUCACAUAUUGACACAAACCAAGAUGCACUCUAAAUGCAUCUAUAAUUAAAUUAUGUGCUUGGUUUGGUCAUGUUGACACAAGCCANAAUAAAUGAAACGCACUAGGUAAAUAUAUUAACUCAAAUAAAUACGGUAUGACAAGUAUACCAUGCACCGCUUAAAUUAUUAUGUGGUGCUUAAAUUCUCAUGCAUGUAGAAAAUACCACAUGCAUGGUCCCGUAGCUCUUUUAGUGCAUGCAACAAUUAAUCAUUAAGGAAAACCAUCUACAUAUAAUAAAACUGACAAGCCUUAUAUCAUUAAAAAAUAUAGACAUAAGUUUGAUUUAUUGAUCGGGUAUAUCAAAUAACCCAUGCAUGCAUUUCGCUAGAGGAAUAUUUCGCACAAUCAAAACUAGUGCGAGUAAAAUCAAGUAAAAUAUGAUAUUUAAAAUAUAUCAGAUCAACAUUAAAUGCUCCUUCAAGCAUCCGACGUCGACGACAGCAAGGAGGACUUCUUACUUUUAUCUUUUGUAGUUGUCAUAUGUGUUGUAAUCCUAUGUAUUAGAAAAGUUGGAAUUCUUAAUCAGGGGUUUUCUCUCCGGAGAUGUAAUUAGCAGUUCUUUUAUAUAUAUGUAAGAAGUCUGGAAAUGAAGUACCCACAAUACUUGAUAUUGUCUCAUUUAAAUUCGCGCACUUUAAAUAAUAUAUCCUAUCUGUCUCUAUGACGUGGACGCGUAGUUAUUAUUUUUUUCUAUCGCCCCAUUUUCCUAUCAUCAGAUUCUGGCACGCCCGGUGGGACCUAUGUUUCCCCUCAUCUUUGAAUUCCAACAUAGGAUUAAAACAUAUGACUUCAUAAAAUAAAUAUAUAUAUAUAAAUGUAUGCAAUAAAACUAAUAUAUGGUUUUCUUCAUUUAUAUGAAGGUACGGAGGGACAGGUUCAGCAGUUUGUCACUCUCCGCUUUGGUGACCUCUGGCUGGAUGUGCCGAUCGGUCCACUUGUGGCUUCAGUUAGUGAGAGAUGCAAGACUAC
rnacentral:lncRNA from 1 species